rnacentral:tRNA from 1 species
UGAUGUGGAGCUUGAAUAGUUAAGCAAUUCAUUUACAUUGAAUAGAUAUCUGUGCAACUCAGUUCUCAUUAA